rnacentral:rRNA from 1 species
GAUGAACGCUGGCGGCGUGCCUAAUACAUGCAAGUCGAGCGAACGGACGAGAAGCUUGCUUCUCUGAUGUUAGCGGCGGACGGGUGAGUAACACGUGGAUAACCUACCUAUAAGACUGGGAUAACUUCGGGAAACCGUAGCUAAUACCGGAUAAUAUUUUGAACCGCAUGGUUCAAAAGUGAAAGACGGUCUUGCUGUCACUUAUAGAUGGAUCCGCGCUGCAUUAGCUAGUUGGUAAGGUAACGGCUUACCAAGGCAACGAUGCAUAGCCGACCUGAGAGGGUGAUCGGCCACACUGGAACUGAGGCACGGUCCAGACUCCUACGGGAGGCAGCAGUAGGGAAUCUUCCGCAAAGGGCGAAAGCCUGACGGAGCAACGCCGCGUGAGUGAUGAAGGUCUUCGGAUCGUAAAACUCUGUUAUUAGGGAAGAACAUAUGUGUAAGUAACUGUGCACAUCUUGACGGUACCUAAUCAGAAAGCCACGGCUAACUACGUG